AUUGAACGCCGGCGGCAGGCUUAACACAUGCAAGUCGAGCGGGGUGAUGGUGCUUGCACUAUCACUUAGCGGCGGACGGGUGAGUAAUGCUUAGGAAUCUGCCUAUUAGUGGGGGACAACAUCUCGAAAGGGAUGCUAAUACCGCAUACGUCCUGCGGGAGAAAGCAGGGGAUCACUUGUGACCUUGCGCUAAUAGAUGAGCCUAAGUCGGAUUAGCUAGUUGGUGGGGUAAAGGCCUACCAAGGCGACGAUCUGUAGCGGGUCUGAGAGGAUGAUCCGCCACACUGGGACUGAGACACGGCCCAGACUCCUACGGGAGGCAGCAGUGGGGAAUAUUGGACAAUGGGGGGAACCCUGAUCCAGCCAUGCCGCGUGUGUGAAGAAGGCCUUAUGGUUGUAAAGCACUUUAAGCGAGGAGGAGGCUCUUUUGGUUAAUACCCAAGAUGAGUGGACGUUACUCGCAGAAUAAGCACCGGCUAACUCUGUGCCAGCAGCCGCUGUAA
rnacentral:rRNA from 1 species